UCCUAUAGGUGUUGUGCCACCGUUGACCUAGCCACCUCCGUCACGCAGGCCUCUCUCCUACGGUUCAAGCAGGCCGCAGCCUCAAAGAAGACCAACUUGUCAUUGAGCGUCCUGUUCUUCCUUUCCACCACUCCAUUUUGUUGUGGUGUGUAAGGGGCGAAGAACCCGUGCUUGAUGUGUUCCUCCUCAAGGUACUCUUUAACUUGAAGGUUCUUGAACUUCGUGUCAUUGUCUCUUCUUAUCUUCUUUAUCCUCAAGUCAAUCUGUAACACCCCGGGAUCCACAAACACCCCAGAAUGCUACUAAACUACACAUCUAAUAUUCAUAUAUAAAAUUUCGACAGCAUCUCCUUUGAAAAUUGCAUAAACGGGGAAAGCAACAAAGUAUAAAUAGAUAUCAUGAUAAGAAAACAUAUAAGACAUUAAUAAUCUGCUAGCAAUGGGAAGACAACCAUAACAACAUGAACUGAAUUAAUCAGUGCGCACGACUAGUUAAAAACAAACAUCCUUUGACAAGAAGUUUCUAAUUAAAUCAUGGCUGCGUCUGGGCAGCAUUAUUAUGAGAAUGAAGGUGGAUGUGCUGCUACUUCCCACUCCCCUUGAUGAGCAACAAGCACCUGCAUUGAGUAAUGCAAGAGUGAGAUGAAACAUCUCAGCAAGCUAAUUGUUCUGACGAGAUAUUUAAACCACAAAUUGAAUUCAUCAACAUUUUAAAAGAGUCACAAUUAAAAAUCAGAAAUGCUUGUAGAUAUAGAACUCAGUAGUCCCACUAUAACCAAUACCAUCUCAUUUCCUCGAACAACCACAAUAGGUUCUAUAACACUUCCCUGCGUCAACAAUACCUGCAAAUAUCACUUCAAUGUAUGCAUAGGAAUGCAAUGUGUAGGUACUCUAUCUUCAUACCUCUGGGGGUAUAAAACCACAUCAUCUGCAAAUAUCACUUCAAUGAAUGCAUAUGAAUGCAAUGCAUAUGUCCUCUGCCUUCAUACCUCUAAGGGUAUGAAGCCGCAUCGUACCCCUUCUCGGGCAACGUACGAUGCUAAGUUGUACCGGUACGGUCGGACCAUAGGUCACGACAAAACUUCAUAUGCAAAUGAGUCAUGCAAUGUAUAUGGCAUGCUACAUUUAUCAAUAAACUUCACUUCCUUCAGAUACAACACAAACCUCAAAUAAUACUUCAUUUACCUUCAGAUACAAUACCAACCUCAAAUAAUACUUCAUUUACCUUCAGGGGUGUGAAUUAAUCUCAUGAGUCAUACUCAAAUCAUAAUCAUCAUCAAUAUAUGAUUGAGCAUCAGUAUAAUGCAAGCAAGUAAAGCAUCACCAUAGAGUCCAAUUAUGAAAGAAUCUGAUACUUCUGAAUAUUAGAGUGUAGGCGAUAGAAAUAACAGGUCAGAACGGAAGCAACCACCGCUACAUUCACUUGCCUUCAUCGAAGAAGAAGAAAUGUACUAGACAUGAUCUGGAGUGUAGCCACCUGCUAGUGGGCAUAAAACUUAGUACAAAUAUUUCACAAACAUUUGCCAUCAAUCAACAAAACACUCCUACACUUGAAACCAAGACCCAGUGGAAAGACUCCCACCCUGAACCACAUGCCAUACAGCAGCAACGCUGUUUGUUAAUUUUGUAUCUUUAAAAUUAAAACAGCGGUGAUAUCAAACAAAUACUCUAGGAGUAUCUACACAAAAUACUCUACAACUUCAGUAUUCAAUAGAUAAUUAAAUUCUGCCAUCUACAAGUUCUAAAACAUCUGACAAGAUAACUGACUGAAUCUGUUUUAGACAGCAGUAUGGUUAACUUUAAAAUUCGAUAUCUCCAAAACUGCUGAACCAAAAAUUAUGAAAUUCUGCUGGAAGUAAGAACUUGUAUCCCUCUACAAAAGUCUCCAUAGUUGGAAGAGCCAAUUCGGCCAUUUACUAGAUGAAACCCACCAGUGAACAGACCCACUCAUUUUUGUCAGGUAAACAGGAACAGCCACAGUAAAACAAACAUAACUGGAGUUUCACAAAUCAUAUGAAUGCACUCUUUAACAAUCUGGAAAGCUUAUAAAAUUAUCUACAACUUCUUUUACCAACCCACAGUUUAAUUCUGUUGAUAAAAUUGCCUAAAUCUUAAGAGAACAGAUUCUGCACAGAAUUAUGAGACUGAAAAACUGCUAUAGUAAAACUGCAAUAACUUUCUGGUCGGAUGUCCGAUUGAGGUGUUCUUCGCGGCCACGGAAAGAUCUACAAAUUAUCUACGACUCAUACAUAGACUUUUUAUUUUUUUGAGGCCACUAAGACCACGGAAAACUGGCAUGAACAGAAACUGUCGAAUCUGCCAUUCUGCAGAAAACUAAAUUCGAGAUCAAAACCUAACCCCACAUCAAAUCCAACCUCUAAUCCUUUAAUUCCCAUGAUCCACAACCUCCAAAAGCCUAUAAUUACAGGGAGGAACAAGGAUCUCAUCCAUACCUAGGGUUUCCCCAAGAAAUCUUCAAGAGGAGAUGGGGAAGAACAUCUCCUUGAUCCUCUCUUCCUCUUCAAUUCAACGUGCCCCUCCUUUUCUCGAUCCUUGCUGCGUAGGGGGAGAUCUUGGGGGAGGAAGCAAUGGAGGAUGGCUGCCAUAGGGGGAGGGGGCGUCCAGCCAAGGGGGAGAAAAAGGGGGUGGCGGCCAAGAGGGGGGGGGGGGGUGAAGGGAAAAAAAGGGGUGGCCACCUAGGGUUUUUGUGGGAGAAAGAAACGACGCCUCAGAUGACUUCUAUCUUUGCAUCCAAUGGCCCACAACCCUUUACCUCAUCCACGCACCAGAGAUUAACUUUUGGUCAACAUUUUUUUUGGGAUAUUACACUCUACCCCCCUUAAAAAGAAUUCGACCUCGAAUUCGGCCACUCCAAGCAAAACACCCAAGGUACCCCAUAUAGCACCACAAUUCAAAACAUGGGUCCAUUAUUGGUCUUAAUUAACACAAGAACUUCUACCUUGGACUAAUUGUCUAAGGAAACUACACGACCUGACAUCAAGCAUGAAACAACAUGUAAUGAAGCUCAAAGCAUGUCAUAGUUGCAAUCAACACUCCAAUUUCACACCAUCAAAUUUGGAUGCAGCUAUACAUCAACAUCAAUGUCUUAAGACAACACUCUUUUAUGAAGGGGUAAUAUGCACCAAGCACAACCCUUACCAACUUCAACCAUUAAUUUUAAUUAAAUGGUGAAACAUCUACACCCGACGAAUGUAUAAGAAGAUCAAACACCUCACCUUAAAGCACUAUGAAACAAGUAGUUCUAUUGGAACAAAACUCCUAAUCUUCCUAAACCUUAUUCUUGCCAUCAUGAAAAUAUAAUCAUGUAAUCUAACAUUCCUUGCACCCCACCAAAAGGGAGAAAAUCUAUAGAACUAAUGGAGCAAUAAAGCCAAAAGAAGUCAAUAACAUCUUAUGCGGCAUAGUUCAUCGAAGAAAUGCCAAAAACUCUACAUAGAGCACUGAUAGCCCAACAACAACACAAUACUUGCUUAACCCAUGUCACUAUACUUCAUUCAACAUCUCAACUAAGAAAAAUAUCCAACUAGUAAGGAUAACCUACACAUAAUAUAAGUCUUCAUCUACUGUAGUUCAGAAACUUACAUUUCAUUCUAUCAUACGAUGCACUCAAAGUACCAGACAUACAAAGUCAAGUAAAGCCAGAGCUUUCUUCAGUAAGGUCCUGAUCUCUGAGGUUGGAAAUGGGUAUAGUACCCUUUUCUGGUCUGAUAAUUGGCUGCAGGGUAAAAGCAUCUCGACCAUUGCCCCUAGUCUGCAUUCUAUAAUCCCAAAGAGGAUAGCAAAAAGUAGAACAGUCCAUGAGGCAUUGCUAAACAGAAGAUGGAUAUCUGACAUUAGAGGUAGUCUCACUGUUGGAGUUUUGGCGGAUUAUUUAAAGCUCUAGGAUUGUCUCUCUGAAAUUGAGCUACACCCCCUCACUGAAGACAGGCAUAUCUUUAGUGUAGCCCCAGAUGGAAAGUAUUCAGCUAAAACAGCUUACAAGGGCCUCUUCCUGGGUUCAUGCUCAUUUGGCCACUAUAAGCGGGUUUGGAAAACUUGGGCUCCAGCAAAAUGUCGUUUCUUCCUCUGGCUGGUGGCUCAUAACAGGUGCUGGACUGCUGACAGAUUGGAAAAAAGGGGGCUCAUUCAUCCAAGCACCUGUCCAUUAUGUGACCAAGAACCUGAAUCCAUUAACCACCUACUGGUCUCAUGUGUGUUUGCAAGGAGUUUCUGGUAUAAUCUGCUUAGAAAAUUUGGGUUGGAUAACCUUGCUCCCCAACCGGGCCUAACAUCCUUUCUGGAAUGGUGGGAGACAGCUUCUGAAACAGUUCAUGGAAUGACCAAGAACGGAUUGAGCUCUCUGAUCUCUUUGGGGGCCUGGAUGAUCUGGAAUCACCGUAAUAGAUGUGUGUUUGAUGGUCAAGCUCCCAGUCUCCCAUCUAUCCUUCGGCAGGCAGACGACGAGAGACGUCUUUGGGAAUUAGCUGGGGCCAAGGGUCUCUCCUUUUUGGCAGCCCCUCAUCUCUAGUAGUGUUUUUGAGUCCGGUUUCCAUGGAUUCUUUCGCUUAUGUGCGUUACUGGCCUCCGUAAGGAGUCAUUGCUGUAAUCUGUGGUCUAUUUUAGACCUUAUUAUCUCCUUCUUAAUAUAUUUAAGGCGCAGUUCCCCUGCGCUUUCGAGAAAAAAAAACAAAGUCAAUAAUAAUAACCCCUAAUCCUUCACACAUUUGACAAACAUAUUAAGCUGAUGUAAACACCACAUGAUCUAGGAAUAGGUGACUAGCCACACCCAACCAACUCUAGGCUAGGCAAGGACUUCCUUCAAACCAAUAGAUAGGUGGUCUAAAAAAAAUGGCUCCACAAGCAUGCAUCGAAAAGGGAACCAUCAGAUCCUCAAUGUAUCAAUACAUAAUCAAUGGAUCAAGAGAAUCAAAGAUUUAUUCUACAAUUAGUAUGACUAACAGGCAACCACUUUAAACCACAUCUAGGCUUUGUGGCAACUAAAACACACAAUAUGAGAGAGACAUGUAAGCCAUUCUGGCUAUGAAAAGACUUCCCCCAAAAAUCCAUAUAAAGUACCAAUAUUCAUUUCUUUCAAAACUGGUUUCUCAACAUAAACAAUCAUUCUUUGCAAUGAUAGUUGGAGCUAUCCACCAACCGCUCAACAACUUAAAUUCAAAUUGAUGAUUACCUUGUACCCCAAAACACGCAAUUCACACUCCUCUUAGAAACAUCCACAAUCAAGCAUAUAUAACAAUAUUAUUGUAAUAAAACUCAACCAUGAAAAACAUGGUGAAAACAACAUAGGCAUACUUGUAUAUCACAAGCAUAAUAAUAACUUUAUUCUCACCAAUGACCAGCGAUAUCUACCGCAUUAAUAAAACAAUAUCAAAAUUUCAGAAAUAAAUUAUAUCAAGCAUUAAGCCAUAAACAACUUACCACAUCACCGUAAAGGAAUAGGGAGGGGUGAAACUAUUGUCAUCUGCACUCCAAAGACAUUAAUAUAUAUCAAAGAUAUUUGAACCCAUACCCUUCCUAUAUGUGCAAGUGUGUCAAAUUUAUCUUCAAAUUGCCAAGAAUCUAAAGCCUAUGCUUUGAUACCAACUAUAACACCCCGGGAUCCACAAACACCCCAGAAUGCUACUAAACUACACAUCUAAUAUUCAUAUAUAAAAUUUCGACAGCAUCUCCUUUGAAAAUUGCAUAAACGGGGAAAGCAACAAAGUAUAAAUAGAUAUCAUGAUAAGAAAACAUAUAAGACAUUAAUAAUCUGCUAGCAAUGGGAAGACAACCAUAACAACAUGAACUGAAUUAAUCAGUGCGCACGACUAGUUAAAAACAAACAUCCUUUGACAAGAAGUUUCUAAUUAAAUCAUGGCUGCGUCUGGGCAGCAUUAUUAUGAGAAUGAAGGUGGAUGUGCUGCUACUUCCCACUCCCCUUGAUGAGCAACAAGCACCUGCAUUGAGUAAUGCAAGAGUGAGAUGAAACAUCUCAGCAAGCUAAUUGUUCUG
rnacentral:lncRNA from 1 species